rnacentral:sRNA from 1 species
GCAGGUGAGUUUUGCUUCCUGGCCCUCUGCUCUCCCGUCCUUCUGGUGGUUCCUACCCAUGAAAGAGAAUCCCAGAGCUCAGCAAGGCCUCUGCUGCCCUCCCACUGUUCCUCUCCUCUCCCCAGGACUCGGUGCGGCUGCUGGCGGUGGAGGCGUGCGUGAACAUCGCCCAGCUUCUGCCCCAGGAGGAUCUGGAGGCCCUGGUGAUGCCCACUCUGCGCCAGGCUGCUGAAGACAAGUCCUGGCGCGUCCGCUACAUGGUGGCUGACAAGUUCACAGAGCUCCAGAAAGCAGUGGGGCCUGAGAUCACCAAGACAGACCUGGUCCCUGCCUUCCAGAACCUGAUGAAAGACUGUGAGGCCGAGGUGAGGGCCGCAGCCUCCCACAAGGUCAAAGAGUUCUGUGAAAACCUCUCAGCUGACUGUCGGGAGAAUGUGAUCAUGUCCCAGAUCUUGCCCUGCAUCAAGGAGCUGGUGUCCGAUGCCAACCAACAUGUCAAGUCUGCCCUGGCCUCAGUCAUCAUGGGUCUCUCUCCCAUCUUGGGCAAAGACAACACCAUCGAGCACCUCUUGCCCCUCUUCCUGGCUCAGCUGAAGGAUGAGUGCCCUGAGGUACGGCUGAACAUCAUCUCUAACCUGGACUGUGU